rnacentral:tRNA from 1 species
AAGAAAUUAAUUAAUAUUUAUAAUAUUGGUUUGUCAUAUCAAAAUAAUCUUUCUAAGAUAUUUCUUA